UAUAUCUUUUUUACUUUUUAGCCACAGAGUAUUUGUGAACCCAUACGACUUUCGUUCUUUAAUUUCUUGGUUCGAACUGUUAGUUGAAUUAUUUCUUGAUUUCAUCCGUUUAUUCAUUCAAUUCACAGUCACAAGGGUCCGGAAUGACUUCUAGUCUAUUAGAAUCCCAUAUAGUAGUAAAAUAUAUCUUUAGUUCAUUUCAUAUAUAACUAGCACUAGUCAAUAUCUAAUAUCACAUAUACGUGUCUUUCUUCCAUAACGUAAACCAAGCAUUCAUCUUAGAUUCAGUCCUAU
rnacentral:lncRNA from 1 species